UCCUGUUCCCCGCUUCAUCUUGAAAUUGAAAUCUUAAGGAAUUGGAGAAGUCAAACAACUAAGCACUUUAAUUUUUUUUUUUAUUGCAUGUCAUUCAUUUGAAUUUCAGAUAAGCCAUGAAAUUAAACAUUAUAUAACAUCAGAAUAAUGCAGAAAGUGCAAUUUUAAAACGUGCAUAGUAUUUUAUACCACUCUUUCAGCUCCAAUAAGCUAACUAGUAUAGUUCAGACAGAAGGAAAUCAAGCUCUGACAUUCUGAAGUCAGUCAAAACUGGCUAUUGCUUUCAAAAGGAGCAGAAUUUCAUUCCAUUGUGUCGUUUCUCAUAUUGUGAGGAAGGGUAAAUUCUGAAAUGUAGCAUAAAUUCAGUGUUAUUAGCAUAUAGCUGUUUUUUAAAAAAUUGUCAUUGAAUGAUUUCAAUUGCAAAUCUGUAAUGGUUUUAUAAUUAUACAGUAAAAGAUAGUACUUUGUACUUUUGGGAAUUAUUCAUUCAGAGAUCCGUUUUAGUAUCUAUUCAAUGCCAGAUGAAAUCUGCUGACUCUAAGGAGUUUGCACAUUGAAUCUUUACAGAACUAUUUCAAAUGCAAAAUUAUUCUUGACAAGUACAAUAUACAGUUACUAUGCUGAAUACCUUGGCUUGGACCCUUUUUAGGCUAGUGUGAAAUAAAAUCAAUUUUUAAAGCUAGAUAUUUAUAAUACAACUGUGAUCUCAGAAAGUCUCAACUCAUUUCAACAAAAUAAGGUGUGAAAUAUUCACAAAAUAAAACUUUUGCAAUGUGAUGUAAACGACUGCAGAAGUUUUCAUUUGUAGAAACAAUAUUAUAUUAGCUAGUCUGAUACACUGCUCAAAAAAACCCCCCUAUUCAAAAUAUCAAAGUCACAAGUCCCCCUUUGUAUUCUAUAUUGUAGAAAAGGAUCUCUGAUAAUAAAUGGAAAAGUUAAUUUAAGUUGUAGUAUAAACAGUA